UACGUAGGGUGCAAGCGUUAAUCGGAAUUACUGGGCGUAAAGCGUGCGCAGGCGGUUUUGUAAGUUUGUCGUGAAAUCCCCGGGCUCAACCUGGGAAUGGCAAUGGAGACUGCAAGGCUAGAGUUUGGCAGAGGGGGGUAGAAUUCCACGUGUAGCAGUGAAAUGCGUAGAGAUGUGGAGGAACACCGAUGGCGAAGGCAGCCCCCUGGGUCAAGAUUGACGCUCAUGCACGAAAGCGUGGGGAGCAAACAGG
rnacentral:rRNA from 1 species